GUACGGCCGCAAGGUUAAAACUCAAAUGAAUUGACGGGGGCCCGCACAAGCGGUGGAGCAUGUGGUUUAAUUCGAUGCAACGCGAAGAACCUUACCUGGUCUUGACAUCCACGGAAGUUUUCAGAGAUGAGAAUGUGCCUUCGGGAACCGUGAGACAGGUGCUGCAUGGCUGUCGUCAGCUCGUGUUGUGAAAUGUUGGGUUAAGUCCCGCAACGAGCGCAACCCUUAUCCUUUGUUGCCAGCGGUCCGGCCGGGAACUCAAAGGAGACUGCCAGUGAUAAACUGGAGGAAGGUGGGGAUGACGUCAAGUCAUCAUGGCCCUUACGACCAGGGCUACACACGUGCUACAAUGGCGCAUACAAAGAGAAGCGACCUCGCGAGAGCAAGCGGACCUCAUAAAGUGCGUCGUAGUCCGGAUUGGAGUCUGCAACUCGACUCCAUGAAGUCGGAAUCGCUAGUAAUCGUGGAUCAGAAUGCCACGGUGAAUACGUUCCCGGGCCUUGUACACACCGCCCGUCACACCAUGGGAGUGGGUUGCAAAAGAAGUAGGUAGCUUAACCUUCGGGAGGGCGCUUAC
rnacentral:rRNA from 1 species